rnacentral:rRNA from 1 species
CCGGAGGCCAUUGCUAUUGGAGUUCGAUUUAGCCAUGCUAGUUGCACGAGUUUAGACUCGUGGCGGAAAGCUCAGUAACACGUGGUCAAACUACCCUAUAGACCAGGAUAACCUCGGGAAACUGAGGCUAAUCCUAGAUAACGCUCCCCUGCUGGAAUUGCAGGGAGCCGGAAACGCUCCGGCGCUAUAGGAUGUGACUGCGGCCGAUUAGGUAGACGGUGGGGUAACGGCCCACCGUGCCGAUAAUCGGUACGGGUUGUGAGAGCAAGAGCCCGGAGAUGGAUUCUGAGACAAGAAUCCAGGCCCUACGGGGCGCAGCAGGCGCGAAAACUUUACACUGCACGACAGUGCGAUAAGGGAACUCCAAGUGCGAGGGCAUAACGUCCUCGCUUUUGUGUAUCGUAAGGUGGUACACGAAUAAGGGCUGGGCAAGACCGGUGCCAGCCGCCGCGGUAAUACCGGCAGCCCGAGUGAUGGCCAAUUUUAUUGGGCCUAAAGCGUCCGUAGCCGGCCAGACAGGUCCGUCGGGAAAUCUGCUCGCUCAACGAGCAGGCGUCCGACGGAAACCCGCUGGCUUGGGACCAGAAGACUCGAGGGGUACAUCUGGGGUAGGAGUGAAAUCCUGUAAUCCUAGACGGACCGCCGAUGGCGAAAGCACCUCGAGAGGAUGGAUCCGACGGUGAGGGACGAAAGCUAGGGUCACGAACCGGAUUAGAUACCCGGGUAGUCCUAGCUGUAAACGAUGCUCGCUAGGUGUGGCACAGGCUACGAGCCUGUGCUGUGCCGUAGGGAA